AUUGAACGCUGGCGGCAUGCCUUACACAUGCAAGUCGAACGGUAACAGGUCUUCGGAUGCUGACGAGUGGCGAACGGGUGAGUAAUACAUCGGAACGUGCCCGAUCGUGGGGGAUAACGGAGCGAAAGCUUUGCUAAUACCGCAUACGAUCUACGGAUGAAAGCAGGGGACCGCAAGGCCUUGCGCGGACGGAGCGGCCGAUGGCAGAUUAGGUAGUUGGUGGGAUAAAAGCUUACCAAGCCGACGAUCUGUAGCUGGUCUGAGAGGACGACCAGCCACACUGGGACUGAGACACGGCCCAGACUCCUACGGGAGGCAGCAGUGGGGAAUUUUGGACAGUGGGCGAAAGCCUGAUCCAGCCAUGCCGCGUGCAGGAUGAAGGCCUUCGGGUUGUAAACUGCUUUUGUACGGAACGAAAAGACUCCUUCUAAUAAAGGGGGUCCAUGACGGUACCGUAAGAAUAAGCACCGGCUAACUACGUGCCAGCAGCCGCGGUAAUACGUAGGGUGCAAGCGUUAAUCGGAAUUACUGGGCGUAAAGCGUGCGCAGGCGGUUAUAUAAGACAGAUGUGAAAUCCCCGGGCUCAACCUGGGAACUGCAUUCGUGACUGUAUAGCUAGAGUACGGCAGAGGGGGAUGGAAUUCCGCGUGUAGCAGUGAAAUGCGUAGAUAUGCGGAGGAACACCGAUGGCGAAGGCAAUCCCCUGGACCUGUACUGACGCUCAUGCACGAAAGCGUGGGGAGCAAACA
rnacentral:rRNA from 1 species